UCCGCUUCGCUGCCUCAGAAGCCUGUCCGAAACCAGUUUCAUGAGGUGCCUUCAUGCAAAAACGCUGCCUUCAAAGUCAUUGGCUCAUAAGGCAGUGAGACAAGUCAGCUGCUUAGCCUUUUGGACACAGCCAGGGAGUCUCAGGCAACCCCAGUUACCACGGUCCUCAGCCCCAGUGCACACUAGAUCCCAAUCACCAGAGCACUGAUUGCCCACACCUGUCUCAGCUCGUUAAGCUCCCUAUAUCACCACACUCUCCACACUGCCUCAUCAUCUAGUCUACAGUUUCCAUUACUGAACUAAGCCUGACUCCUUACCUUGGUACUCACCUGUGUUUACUCACCCAUAGAUGCUCCUUCGCUCCACCGCUCCCGUUCUCCAUGGCUCCUUCGCUCCUCCAGAUCACCUGCAUGAGACAAUCAUCUGUUACCAUCAGACAAUUAUACUACCCCAGACAAAAACAAUAUUUUCACAUUUUAAAAUCUGCUGUUACAGUAUUAUUAGUUCAUGUACUAUAAAAUUCCCUGAAAAAUAUGCCUACACAUAAAUUGUUUUUAUGAUUCCUUAACAGUGAACAUAACAAUGCAUUAAAAUCCAAGUGUUUAUCAUUGCAGAGGGAUGGGGGAAACACGAUAUGCCUUGUGCUUUUUCCUUUCUUUAUUAUUAUUAUUAUUUUGUUUGUUUAAAAAAAGCUAAACUAAGAAACUGGACUGAUGAUAAAGACAUAAAGUGACCGUAAGCAGGACGGCCUCUGCACAAUCUAGUUGGACAAGCAGUGAACUUGAUUAACUUGCUGUUCUAGAGAAAAGACAGGAAAAAAAGAACAACGUAAGCACACUUUUAAAGUCAGCGUGACCGCAGUUUAAGCAUUAUUUAAUUUGUUCAUUUAUUGGUUUUCCUACAUUUUUACUAAAAACUAUAGUAUAUGUACAAUAAUAAAGAUAACGUGCUUGUUUUUUUGUUUUUUUUAAUUAUCAGAUACUUUGUGCUUUAUAUGUUGUGUUUAUAUGGAUAUAUUUUAUAUUAUUUUGUAAGUUUAAUUAGCUAGCCUGAAAUAAUAGCUUGAUGUUGUGUGUGUAUUGUGUGUAUAAAAAGACAAUUCAUUUUCUUUUAGGUUUAAACUUUAGUUAUUAGAAUUUGCUUUAUAUAAAAACAAGAUAAGUCAAAAUUUUGAACAUUUUUAUCUAGAUGUUCUAAUUUAGAUAAAUACAUACUAAGCAGCUUUCAGGAAGUCCACAACCUCAUACUGUCCAUAGGUUUUGCCUAAAAAAAGGCAAAAUGCUAAUAAAAAAGUCUAUGAAUGGAAGGAUGACAACAUUUUUAACUUACUGUAUCUUAACAUACACAUUUGUCAUUUGCUUUGCCAACACAGAAGACACGUUUACAUUUAGAAUUAAUCAUGGUCUGAUGUCUGUAACUUACUCAUGCCACUUCAUGAAUGAAAUGACAACUGAACCAACUGAAGUCACCUGUCAGUUAUAAACAGCAAAUUGUUUGGAAGAAUUUAAGAAUUCUUGCUCUUUAUCAAACUGUCACUUGGCCAUCAUUUGCUUUGCAUAACAGAUUGGUGAAACAUUACAGCUGACUGACUGAAGGUUUGAUAGUCAACAAGACACCUGUUGUCGUGAUUAGAUCCAGAUUCCAGGAAUAUCUUUGCUGUCUCAAUAUAAUGUUGUUUGGGAGCAUUUUAAAAGUUCAUGAAAGUCCCUGAAUGACUGGUCAGACCUGAGUAAACACUGCAGAUGAAGGGGGUGAGAUGAAAUGUGUGUGUUUGUGUGUGAGAGAGUGUCCUGCAGCUCAUCACAGGAGAGGUACUUCAGACCUGAGUUUGGCCCUACCCAACCCGACCUCUGACAAAUCUGGUGGCAGUCACCCUUCCAGUUUGUUCUGUUUCUCUUCACUAGUCAGAGUAUCUGCCAGACAUGAAACUUGAAUCAGAUCCAAGCAAAUCUUGUACGCCCAGAAAUCCCGCCAGGAAAUGUCACCCUGUGUCACUGUAUAUUUAAAGGAAAGUGUUUUCCAUCAGACUCUAAUGACUCAGAGCGAGACCGAAAGCUGCUCCCAGGUCAGUUGAACCUGUCAUUGUUUUUAAAAGGGGGUGACAUGUUUGGACUUGUACGGCAAACAGAAAAGACGUGGAACUCUGGCGUUUCAAUGACAACUCCAUAAACACAACUCUAGCAGGAGAAUGCACAUUUUGAGACCUGGACCACAACCAGAUUUUUUUUUUUUUUUCUGUAAAUAAACUCUUUAAUGGCUUUGAAUGCAAAUAAAGGCUAACAUAUAUGACUUUAAAAAAAGUCUCCUCGUGAUUAAUCUAAUUAAGCACUUCUAAUCAUUCUGUCUCAUGACACUAUACUAAUCUCUUAAUGAGGUUGACACCAUGUGUAGUUCUGAUCGUGUGUUGCACCACAGAAAGAGAAUAAUAAGACGUUUAGAGGCUGUUGAUGGUCCAUAGAGGAUUUGAGUAAAAGGGGGAGAUUUCGUCCUAGUUUCCUGUGUUGUGGCAUAAUUUGCUUUGUUAGAAAGAUUAUAAUGUGGUCAUUAAGAUACAUUUUUAUUAGUGUGUUAAUUGUCAUAUAGGCCAAGGUUUUGUACUGUGUCAUCUGGCUAGCAUACUGGCUAGA